rnacentral:tRNA from 1 species
GCCUGGGUGGCUCAGUCGGUUAAGCAUCCGACCUGGGCUCGGGUCACGAUCUCGCAGUCUGUGAGUUCAAGCCCCGCCCCAGCCA